UUCUGCUUGAUCCUGACAGAGGCCAUUGCUAUCAGGGUUUGACUAAGCCAUGCGAGUCGAGAGGUGUAAGACCUCGGCAUACUGCUCAGUAACACGUGGUUAACCUGCCCUAAGGUGGAGAAUACUCCCGGGAAACUGGGGCUAAUGCUCCAUAGUGGAUAUCUCCUGGAAUGGUAUAUCCUCGAAAGAUCCGUCGCCUUAGGAUGGGACUGCGUCCGAUUAGGUUGUUGGCGGGGUAACGGCCCACCAAGCCUUUUAUCGGUACGGGUUGUGGGAGCAAGAUCCCGGAGAUGGAUUCUGAGACAUGAAUCCAGGCCCUACGGGGCGCAGCAGGCGCGCAAACUUUACAAUGCGAGCAAUCGUGAUAAGGAAACCCUGAGUGCCUGUCGAUGCAGGCUGUUCAUAUAUCUAAAUCAUAUGUGAAGAAAGGGCAGGGCAAGACCGGUGCCAGCCGCCGCGGUAAUACCGGCUGCUCGAGUGAUGGCCACUAUUACUGGGUUUAAAGCGUCCGUAGCUUGACUGUUAGGUCUCUUGGGAAAUCUUCGCGCUCAACGUGAAGGCGUCUAAGAGAUACCGGCAGUCUUGGAACUGGGAGAGGUAAACCGUACUUCGGGGGUAGGAGUGAAAUCUUGUAAUCCUCGAGGGACGACCUAUGGCGAAGGCAGUUUACCAGAACAGCUUCGACAGUGAGGGACGAAAGCUGGGGGAGCAAACGGGAUUAGAUACCCCGGUAGUCCCAGCCGUAAACAAUGUGCGUUAGGUGUGUCGGUAACCACGUGUUACUGAUGCGCCGAAGAGAAAUCGUGAAACGCACCACCUGGGAAGUACGGUCGCAAGGCUGAAACUUAAAGGAAUUGGCGGGGGAGCACCACAACAGGUGGAGCCUGCGGUUUAAUUGGAUUCAACGCCGGACAUCUCACCGGAUAAGACAGCUGAAUGAUUGUCAAUCUGAAGGUUUUACAUGACUAGCUGAGAGGAGGUGCAUGGCCGUCGUCAGUUCGUACUGUGAAGCAUCCUGUUAAGUCAGGCAACGAGCGAGACCCA
rnacentral:rRNA from 1 species